CCUAGGGGAAUCAUGAACGCAGAUACAUUACUUGAGGUCCCGGGGUACUAAAUAACUACGACGACAAAUCGAAGGAGGGGCAUAUAUUUAUGUUUGCAAUAGGAGAGAUAUUGAUAAAUAUGAUCAAUAUGAUUGGACAAAAAAAUAGCUAGUUAAGCUUGAAAAAAAAAGGGAAAAAAAUAUAAGCUCAGAGUAAAAUUUCGAAGGAAAAAAAGGUAUAUAGCAUAGUCGGGGGAGUAGUUGGUUAGUUGUGUUUUCAAGUUCAAGUCCUUCAGCUGCCUGCCUCUCUUCUCAACUUUCCAGCACAUAAUCAGCCGAAAAUAGGCAAAAGAGAAAAAAAAAAGGAGGUGGAAAAAAAGGAGAUGAGACAAAUUUGUCGCCGAGUUCACCGCCGUCAUCAACAAGAACAGCACAGCUGCGCGCGCUGACAAUAAUACGUCUGGAACUGGAAACGGAUGUAGGGACGUAUUUUUUGCCGUCAUAUCAACCUGGAAACAAAUGAAUAAAGGAAAUGGAAAUAGCUGACGUAUUAAUCAUCGAGGAUAUAUAUAUAUAUAUAUAUGUUUGCGGGUGGGUGAGUGGAUAUUAGGAGAUGGCAAGAAAGAAUUAAAGCCGAAUUAACGCCAGCCAAUACGCCCUCGUCCCUCGACUUCGCAUAGACCGAAUUCUGGCUCGACGUACGUACUUCGUCCCGUGAGGGGUCCGUUUGUGUCGCACAGGAAAACGUGAGUGAAAGUUCCUCC
rnacentral:sRNA from 1 species